CCCUUAGAUGUUCUGGGCUGCACGCGCGCUACACUGACACACUCAGCGAGUUCCUGUGCCGAGAGGCUUGGGUAAUCAUGUGAGCGUGUGUCGUGAUGGGGAUAGAAUAUUGUAAUUAUUGCUCUUCAACGAGGAAUUCCUAGUAAGCGCAAGUCAGCAGCUUGCGCUGAUUACGUCCCUGCCCUUUGUACACACCGCCCGUCGCUCCUACCGAUUGGGUGAUCCGGUGAAGCCUCCGGAUUGGCGCGCACCUCGGUGCCGCCGAGAAGUUGGCUAAACCUUACCAUUUAGAGGAAGGUGAAGUCGUAACA
rnacentral:rRNA from 1 species